rfam:Cellulophaga algicola DSM 14237, complete genome.
ACAACUACGAGUUGGUUAUGUAGAGAAGUCAGCAGAAGUCAUAGUACUUAUGAGAAACGAGUUGCAAAUAGCAAUUGCAUAGGUCUCACGAGUAAGGAAGGAC